rnacentral:rRNA from 1 species
UGAGGAAUAUUGGUCAAUGGACGAGAGUCUGAACCAGCCAAGUAGCGUGAAGGAUGACUGCCCUAUGGGUUGUAAACUUCUUUUAUACGGGAAUAAAGUGAGGCACGUGUGCCUUUUUGUAUGUACCGUAUGAAUAAGGAUCGGCUAACUCCGUGCCAGCAGCCGCGGUAAUACGGAGGAUCCGAGCGUUAUCCGGAUUUAUUGGGUUUAAAGGGAGCGUAGGCGGACGCUUAAGUCAGUUGUGAAAGUUUGCGGCUCAACCGUAAAAUUGCAGUUGAUACUGGGUGUCUUGAGUACAGUAGAGGCAGGCGGAAUUCGUGGUGUAGCGGUGAAAUGCUUAGAUAUCACGAAGAACUCCGAUUGCGAAGGCAGCUUGCUGGACUGUAACUGACGCUGAUGCUCGAAAGUGUGGGUAUCAAACAGGAUUAGAUACCCUGGUAGUCCACACAGUAAACGAUGAAUACUCGCUGUUUGCGAUAUACAGUAAGCGGCCAAGCGAAAGCGUUAAGUAUUCCACCUGGGAGUACGCCGGCAACGGUGAAACUCAAAGGAAUUGACGGGGGCCCGCACAAGCGGAGGAACAUGUGGUUUAAUUCGAUGAUACGCGAGGAACCUUACCCGGGCUUGAAUUGCAACUGAAUGAUGUGGAGACAUGUCAGCCGCAAGGCAGUUGUGAAGGUGCUGCAUGGUUGUCGUCAGCUCGUGCCGUGAGGUGUCGGCUUAAGUGCCAUAACGAGCGCAACCCUUAUCGAUAGUUACCAUCAGGUUAUGCUGGGGACUCUGUCGAGACUGCCGUCGUAAGAUGUGAGGAAGGUGGGGAUGACGUCAAAUCAGCACGGCCCUUACGUCCAGGGCUACACACGUGUUACAAUGGGGGGUACAGAAGGCAGCUACACGGCGACGUGAUGCUAAUCCCUAAAGCCUCUCUCAGUUCGGAUUGGAGUCUGCAACCCGACUCCAUGAAGCUGGAUUCGCUAGUAAUCGCGCAUCAGCCACGGCGCGGUGAAUACGUUCCC